UCCGUGGGUUCUUCACAGAUUCGAGGUCUCCUCGUCGAAGAGAGCUCGUGGGCACGAGGAAGGGUUGAAAUCUCAAGUUCUCCGAACCCUAGAGGCUUUCUCCUCCGGUUGUAAGUCGAGGGAUUCCGAUAAAGGAAAGGAAAAGAUAUAACAAGGGAGGCGACAAGGCGGUGUGGAUGGUGUGUGAUGCCAGGGCUAUGGAGAGAUCCGGGGAUUUGCUAAGAAUUUAUUAAGACUGUUUCCGUUAAAUUGUUUAAAGAAUUUAGAACUUGUACAUGCUACUCUAUGGAUUGUUUUAUCGUGCUUUACGAAAGUUGAUUAUUUUAA